rnacentral:tRNA from 1 species
GGGCGGUUAGCUCAGCCUGGUUAGAGCGCUUGCUCGACACGCAAGAGGUCACUGGUUCAACUCCAGUACCGCCCA